rfam:Triticum aestivum genome assembly, contig: Triticum_aestivum_CS42_TGACv1_scaffold_406451_5BL
GUAAUACUCCCUCUGUCCGGAAAUACUUGUCGUUGAAAUUAAUAAAUAUGAAUGUAUCUAAAACUACAAUAUGUCUAGAUACAUUCAUUUCUUUGACAAGUAUUUUCAGGCGGAGGGAGUAAAUU